rnacentral:rRNA from 1 species
ACGGGAGGCAGCAGUGGGGGAUAUUGCGCAAUGGGGGAAACCCUGACGCAGCAACGCCGCGUGCAGGAUGACGGCCUUCGGGUUGUAAACUGUUGUCGCAAGGGAAGAAACAAACGACGGUACCUUGUGAGAAAGCCACGGCUAACUACGUGCCAGCAGCCGCGGUAAUACGUAGGUGGCAAGCGUUGUCCGGAUUUACUGGGUGUAAAGGGCGCGUAGGCGGGAUAGCAAGUCAGUCGUGAAAUACCGGGGCUCAACUCCGGAGCUGCGAUUGAAACUGUUAUUCUUGAGUAUCGGAGAGGAAAGCGGAAUUCCUAGUGUAGCGGUGAAAUGCGUAGAUAUUAGGAGGAACACCAGUGGCGAAGGCGGCUUUCUGGACGACAACUGACGCUGAGGCGCGAAAGUGUGGGGAGCAAACAGGAUUAGAUACCCUGGUA